rnacentral:rRNA from 1 species
GAUGAACGCUAGCGAUAGGCUUAACACAUGCAAGUCGAGGGGCAGCAUGGUCUUAGCUUGCUAAGACUGAUGGCGACCGGCGCACGGGUGCGUAACGCGUAUGCAACUUGCCUCACAGAGGGGGAUAACCCGUCGAGAGACGGACUAAUACCGCGUACACUCCAUCUUGGGCAUCCAAGGUAGAGGAAAUGAAAUUCGCUGUGAGAUAGGCAUGCGUCCCAUUAGCUAGUUGGUGAGGUAACGGCUCACCAAGGCGACGAUGGGUAGGGGAACUGAGAGGUUGAACCCCCACACUGGUACUGAGACACGGACCAGACUCCUACGGGAGGCAGCAGUGAGGAAUAUUGGUCAAUGGGCGAGAGCCUGAACCAGCCAAGUCGCGUGAAGGAUGACUGUCUUAUGGAUUGUAAACUUCUUUUAUACGGGAAUAACAAGAGUCACGUGUGACUCCCUGCAUGUACCGUAUGAAUAAGCAUCGGCUAACUCCGUG